GAGCGGAAAGGCCCUUCGGGGUACUCGAGCGGCGAACGGGUGAGUAACACGUGAGCAACCUGCCCCUAGCUCUGGGAUAGCUCCGGGAAACCGGGAUUAAUACCAGAUACGACCACUUUAGACAUCUGUUGUGGUGGAAAGGAUUCCGGCUAGGGAUGGGCUCGCGGCCUAUCAGCUUGUUGGUGGGGUAACGGCCUACCAAGGCGACGACGGGUAGCCGGCCUGAGAGGGCGACCGGCCACACUGGGACUGAGACACGGCCCAGACUCCUACGGGAGGCAGCAGUGGGGAAUAUUGCGCAAUGGGCGAAAGCCUGACGCAGCGACGCCGCGUGCGGGAUGAAGGCCUGCGGGUUGUAAA
rnacentral:rRNA from 1 species